rnacentral:lncRNA from 1 species
UGAUCCUAUCUCAACUUCUAAUGCCCCAAAGGAGCUGGGUUUAAAUAGGGAAGAGAGGAGAUCAAGAUAGAGUAGGAGAUAAGAGUCCAUAAUGCUUAGGACUCUUAGAUUUUUGACACCGCUUACAACCAAAAAUUAUGCCUCAUAUUUUACACGAAAAGAGUGGAUUUCCUAAGGCUCUUACACACUAAAAAGGAUGGGGUGUGGGGCUUGAUUUGGCACACAAAAAUAGGUGGGCAUGGGGCUGGUAUGUGGUGCAUGAAAGGAAGAGUUUCAAUCCAUGUAGGACUUCUAUUUAGGUGGCUAGUUUAAACUAAUUUAAACCUCAAUCAAUCCUAAUCAUAUUAGGACUAGAUUAGACUCAAAUAGAUAAAAUAUCAA